GUCCAUGCCGUAAACGAUGUCAACUAGCCGUUGGGGGUCUUGAACCUUUAGUGGCGCAGCUAACGCGAUAAGUUGACCGCCUGGGGAGUACGGUCGCAAGACUAAAACUCAAAUGAAUUGACGGGGGGCCCCGCACAAGCGGUGGAGCAUGUGGUUUAAUUCGAUGCAACGCGAAGAACCUUACCUAGCCUUGACAUGUCUGGAAUCCUGUAGAGAUACGGGAGUGCCUUCGGGAAUCAGAACACAGGUGCUGCAUGGCUGUCGU
rnacentral:rRNA from 1 species